GUUGAAAUCACCAGAUCUGUAACAGUAAGGAGCAUGCAUGACUGAGGAAGAGCUGAAGGCAGACAGCUGAGGAGCCCCUGCAAGAGUCUGACCUAGGCAGAAGCAGUAGUUCUAAGAAGAGGCCACAGUUUAAGACACAGAAGAAGUCUAAUAAGCAACCUUGGUGAUUUCACCCAAAACUGCUUGCUGGUACAGAGGGAGAUCGCUCAACAGACAAAACCCAGUAUGUUCCGAAGAGACUGAACCCAAAGCUGGAAGGAUUUAAUCACAUCAGAAGGCACUGAUCCCCAAGGCUCCACCUCCAUGAGGCUUUGGCUCCAGCUUUACCCAGGCCUUAAAGGGCCAUCUAUCCAUCUGGCUCUUACAAUCUUUCUGCCGACUCUGCUCAGAAUCGUAAGGAGGGACUUGACAGGAGGGACUUGAGAAAGACAUCCCGCUUAGGAUUGAGUGCUCCACACUCUCUUACUUGCUGCACGUUGUCCAGUUGCGGGUCUCUGUAUUAAUUCCCAUCUACUACAAGAAGAAGUUUCUCUGAUGAUGGUUAAGUGAUGCUCUGAUAUCCAGCAUUGACUGACACCUUGAAAAUCAAGACCAGAAGAAGGAAAAUUAGAAAUAAACACAUCAGUUUCACAUUUCUGUACCAGUUGGCCUUUGGACAGAACAAACAAUUCUUUGUGAAGAAUCUCAUUACUUAGCCAGUUAAAUAAAGUAUGCAUUCAAGAUAUGAAAAGAUAAUGCACAUUAUUGAAACAA